rnacentral:rRNA from 1 species
CAGAGGUCCCGAGCGUUGUUCGGAUUCACUGGGCGUAAAGGGUGCGUAGGUGGUGAAGUAAGUCGGAUGUGAAAUCUCGGAGCUUAACUCCGAAACUGCAUUGGAAACUACUUUGCUCGAGGGUUGAGGGGGGACUGGAAUUCUCGGUGUAGCAGUGAAAUGCGUAGAUAUCGAGAGGAACACCAGUGGCGAAGGCGAGUCCCUGGACAACUCCUGACACUGAGGCACGAAAGCUAGGGGAGCAAACAGGAUUAGAUACCCUGGUAGUCCUAGCCGUAAACGGUGCUUGCUUGCUGUAAAAGGAAUCGACCCCUUUUGUGGCGUAGCCAACGCGUUAAGCAAGCCGCCUGGGAAGUACGGUCGCAAGAUUA